rnacentral:rRNA from 1 species
CCUACGGGAGGCAGCAGUGAGGAAUAUUGGUCAAUGGGCGCGAGCCUGAACCAGCCAAGUAGCGUGAAGGAUGACUGCCCUACGGGUUGUAAACUUCUUUUAUAAAGGAAUAAAGUGAGGCACGUGUGCCUUUUUGUAUGUACUUUAUGAAUAAGGAUAGGCUAACUCCGUGCCAGCAGCCGCGGUAAUACGGAGGAUCCGAGCGUUAUCCGGAUUUAUUUGGUUUAAAGGGAGCGUAGAUGGGUUGUUAAGUCAGUUGUGAAAGUUUGCGGCUCAACCGUAAAAUUGCAGUUGAUACUGGCAGCCUUGAGUACAGUUGAGGGAGGCGGAAUUCGUGGUGUAGCGGUGAAAUGCUUAGAUAGCACGAAGAACUCCGAUUGCGAAGGCAGCCUACUAAACUGCCACUGACAUUGAGGCUCGAAAGUGUGGGUAUCAAACAGGAUUAGAUACCCUUGUAGUC